rnacentral:rRNA from 1 species
GAUGAACGCUGACAGAAUGCUUAACACAUGCAAGUCAACUUGAACUUCGGUUUGGGUGGCGGACGGGUGAGUAACGCGUAAAGAACUUGCCUCACAGACAGGGACAGCAUUUGGAAACGAAUGCUAAUACCUGAUAUUAUGAUUUUAGGGCAUCCUAGAAUUAUGAAAGCUAUAUGCACUGUGAGAGAGCUUUGCGUCCCAUUAGCUAGUUGGAGAGGUAACGGCUCACCAAGGCGAUGAUGGGUAGCCGGCCUGAGAGGGUGAUCGGCCACAAGGGGACUGAGACACGGCCCUUACUCCUACGGGAGGCAGCAGUGGGGAAUAUUGGACAAUGGACCAAGAGUCUGAUCCAGCAAUUCUGUGUGCACGAUGAAGUUUUUCGGAAUGUAAAGUGCUUUCAGUUGGGAAGAAAAAAUGACG